UCAAAUGCCACAAUCUCUCACAAUAACCAGAUGGAAGGCAUACACAAACUGUGCACGCACGGAAGUGCCGCAGCUCGAGGGUCCCGCCAUGUCUUCACUGUAGUACUCCUAGUCGUGAGACGUUUACCUCGGCAAUUACAUUACCGGUGGCUGUAGUACUUCUGAUUUGUUAAACUAUAUUUAUGUUUUUACUCCUGUUGAAGAUAAAUCUGAUUUAGCUGUGUCUGUGAGUUUUCACAAGUGCUCUUCUACUCUGGGUAGCCCAAUGUUGUAGCUAUUAUUGGCAGUGCUUAAGUUUCAGUCGCUAUCAUAGGUUAUUUCGAAUUGAUACUUUUUUUCUAUUUAGAAAUAUUGUUGCAUUAACCUUUCAAACUAAGGCAAGGUACUUUCGGUUUUUCUAAUCUAGCAAUUUUCCAAUUUAGAAAUGUUCUUAUUUACUACACAGUAUACCUAGCUAGCAACUGCAGGUAGAGCAAGUUUUCUGUUACAGUAACCUGGCUAACUAUCUACUGCAGCUAGUUAACUUACACAACUACUUAACCAACAUCUGCUUAGUUUGUUAAGCCGACAUCAUUUCUGGACAAAGAACCUCAGCUUUCCCUGACACUAAGAACUACAGAGCAAGCAACUGAAGUGCCGUUCUGGGUCCCAACAACAAAGGAAGGGGAAGAUAGAACUGAUGUGACGGAGAGGUGAUGGACGGCGCCGCCAUCUCCCGCUUUUCCCGGUUGCCCAUUUGUUCAUGAACUCACCCCGGACUCCUUCAUUGUCUUGUCUCCAAUUGUCACUCACGUUUUUUCAGUUUAUUUCUCAGUAUUAGAAGAACCCAAUAAAGAGUAAGGCGUUAAUAUUUUUGUAUUAUUUGUAAAAAUUGGCCGUUUGAUAAUAUCUCUUAUGUGAUCAGUUAGAUUUCAGUGAUUCGAGAAGGAUAUACCUCUAUAAAUGGAAUAAGUAAUUGUUAAGCUUGGUUAUUGCCAUUGAAGACCUGCAAUUUAAUUGCUAGGUGAACUAGGUGGGAUUUCUUACUUUAUCCUUCCUGUUUGUUUUGAAGUCCCACACAAUUCUGAUUUUAAUUUCUGUACAAUUGACCAACUUGGGAGAGUGUGAGGUGGGUGAUCAACAAAAACUUUUUUUAUUACAUUUUCUUGAUUGUUUGUAAAUGUUAUACUUUUUUUUUUUACUACAUUUCAUAUGGGGCUCUUCUAUAUUAUGUCAUGUACUUUGUUAGGAGAAAAUAUCUGGACUGAUGAUCUAACAGCAUUGACAUAAUUAUAUCUGGAAAGGGGUUGAUAGAAUAAAUGUAUACAUAAUACCUCACAUGCUCACUGUAAAACUAAAGUCUGUUUAGAGCCCUGCUGAAUUGUGUUGUGAACCUUUAAGAGGGCAUAGGACAGUUGUAGUGGAUAAACACAAAGUUUGAGAGAAGUGUCAUGUGAGAUAUGUUGACUGGACAGAAAUUAACUUAACUACCU